rnacentral:rRNA from 1 species
UACGUAGGGUGCAAGCGUUGUCCGGAAUUAUUGGGCGUAAAGAGCUCGUAGGCGGUUUGUCGCGUCUGCUGUGAAAACUCGGGGCUUAACCCCGGGCCUGCAGUGGGUACGGGCAGACUAGAGUGCGGUAGGGGAGACUGGAAUUCCUGGUGUAGUGGUGAAAUGCGUAGAUAUCGGGAGGAACACCAGUGGCGAAGGCGACUACCUGGCCUGUUCUUGACGCUGAGGCGCGAAAGCUAGGGGAGCAAACGGG